UAGACUCUUUGUUUACAAACUCACAUUGGCCCCUUUACAUUGUUUUGCUUGACUUCUUGCAAACUUCAGCAAAGAUGGCCUCUCGUGUACGGUCAAAGCAAGUAAAGCUAUUUGGGAGCAAAACAAUGUAAAUUGGGUCUUAAAAUUUAGCUUAAAUGUUAAAUAAAAAAAUACUUUUGAAAUUUAUGACCGAAUUGAUAUGGCGAUUGUUAACAAUUAAAUUCAUCAUUGAUUUUUUUUAAAUAUAAAAACAAUUUUACUGCAUUUUAAUUUUGCUUGCAACGCGCAACACUUUUCGCACUCUCUCUCUUUCAUUCGCUUCUCCAGCGCGAAACGUCAAAACGGUCACAACAAAACAGAAAAUGCGAUCGAGCGGAUCGAGUCGCGGUUUGUUUAUCAUCAGUCGGUUUUUAUUUCGUUUCGUCGGGAAUCGCGGGUGCAGAACCGAGUUUUAUUACGGUUGUGCUUGUGUUUACUUUCAGCGAAACCAAAAAACAUAUCGAUCGGUGUGAAAAAUUAUCAACAAUUUGUUGCAGGUGGAUAAAUUUGGCUAAGGAAACGGUGGGCCGGUACACCGAAAACAUCACCGAGCUAAACCUGAUCAUCUUCCCGGACGAGGGCAAUUGCAAGGGUUGCCGGUGUUGCUCAACUUAAAGAUAUGGAAUAAAUCUGAUCGCAAUCUGAAAAAGUCGCCUUUGGGCCAUGACGACAGCUGGCAUUGGACGAAGGCUUCGAAUAAGAAGAAGACGAUCACAUCUAGGCCCAAGUGCAUCAACCUUUUGGGGCACCGGAGGUAAUUUAAUAGCGGGCGGCAUCUACCUGCAGAACGACUACGACGAAGGAAAAAGGAUUUCGAGGUGAGUUGUCUCGUCGGCAAAGCUGCUGGAAAGUAAACAAACUAUUAUUAUAAUAUAUUUUCGAUUUUAGAUUGGAAUGCGGCCAUGUCAGCUGGAUUCAGAACUAUUGGUCAGUCGAUAACGCAGACGUUUUUUGCCAGCACAAAGUCUGGAGCUCUUUUCCACGGCCAAACUCGAGCUGUAGUUUGAACUGUCCAGCGACAACAUCACUGUUCUCCUGCCGCAUAUAUUUCCGGAAGCUCCGUUAAGUCGCUCAUAACCAGCGGCAGCCGAAGAAGUUGGAGUUUGCUUUUAGAUAAGUGUAUGUAUUUAAAGGAACAUGACACUUUGUGAUAUAUUUUUUUUUCUUUUAUAGGUGAAUUCAAUAUUUAACGGAGGAUAAUAUCUCAGCCGGCAGUAAAAUUAUCUAGCUGUCUACUAGGCUUUCCAGCAGAACAUCAAACAUUUGGUUUGGGUGAGUAAUUUAUUCAUUUCAAUCUAAGACAAAGUAUUCUACUUUUCAGAAAAGAAAAAAAAACAUGAAACGUGCUAAAAGGAUUAAAUUAAACUAUUGAAACUAAACUUUCAUUAAUUAAAAACGUUAAUUUUAUACAACAAACAUGCCUUCAUUGUUAUGGCUUCUUUCUGCUAAGCAAAUUACAAGUCAGAUCAAAUCUGCCUUUAGUAACACAUGCCAACAAAAAUGGAAAAAGAGUUUACUUUAUUUGGUGAACUUCGUACGCAUUUUUAACAAAGAGAUCGGUGUAAUAUUCUGCUAGGGAUAUAGCUUUCCAUGUGAUAAAAUAAUAACACUUUUUGUUAUGCAAUCAAUCCAUACAAAUAACAGUUUUUGUUAUUUGGGUGC